GGAGGAGUAAGCCAAGGGAAGCCUAUGGGGGUGAAAGAGAUAAGAUAACCUUCUCGAGCCCAAAUGGGAGAAGGGAGGACCACCAGCAAAAGAGGGAAAAACUUGAGGGCCUGGCUGGCCUGGUGUGAAGGAGGCCAGGUGCAGCAGCUGGUGCCUCUUUAGACCCUUAUCCCAGCUCAGGGACAGCAGCUGGCAGAGCUAGAUGGUGUUCUGGAGUCCCCAGUAGCAACAAGCAGGAGAAAUGUCAACCACAGCCGCAAAAGAAUUCCAAAAAUCACACCAGGAGUCAGUCAGAUGGUGCUACACAUUCUCAGCCUCAUCUCAGAACAGGACAGAGCUACUCUGAAGGGGAAGUAUCCAUGGCCGGAUUCCAUCGGAGGUGCCACUAGGGAGCAAGCUGGGGUGAAGUCUCAGACUGGAAGACACUCGGACCUGUUCCAAGCCAGGGAGCAGGAGGCAGAAGCCGGAGGAGCGAGAGGGUGGCUGACUACCUUGGCCCCUGGGGGGUCAGAGCAGACCCUGGGACAGGGAGAAGCAGCGGAGAAAGGGCCUUUGAAUGACAGGGCUAAGGGAAGGAAACCUCGCUCUGGGACUGGGAUCGGGCAAGACUCUUUCUGCUCAGAAAAGGACAGGACUGAGCGCAUUUCAACAUCAGCAUCAGCAUCAACCACCACGAAUAUUCAGGGGUGUGAGGUGAAAGCUCAGCUUCGUCCUGAGAAGUCAGCAAAAGGAUCUCAUGAGAACCAAGUGAGUUUCCCCAGCCCAGACCUACAAGCUUCAGGGAACCUACAGGUAAUUCUGGAGCUUUAUAGGGAGUUUGGGG
rnacentral:lncRNA from 1 species